UGAUUCUUGGGAGGAACAUUUGGUAAUGGUCUUGAUCCUCUAUGCUCUUUUUUAUGUGUUGCUAGUUCGAUUGCACUUUUUUGAUUCU
rnacentral:tRNA from 1 species